rnacentral:rRNA from 1 species
UACUGGGCGUAAAAGGUCGUAGGCGGCUGUCGCGUUGUUCGUGAAAACUCACAGCUUAACUGGGGGGGUGCGGGCGAUACUGGGAGACUAGAGUGCUGAAGGGGAGAUUGGAAUUCCUGGUGUAGAGGUGGAAUGCGCAGAUGUCAGGAGGAUCACCGGUGGCGAAAGGGGGCCUCUGGCCAGUAACUGACGCUGAGGAGCGAAAGCGUGGGGAGCGAACAGGAUUAGAUACCCUGGAAGUCCACGCCGGAAACGGUGGGAACUAGGUGUGGGUUCCUUCCUUGGGAUCCGUGCCGUAGCUAAAGCAUUAAGUACCCCGCCUGGGGAGAACGGCCGCAAGGCUAAAACUCAAAAGAAUUGACGGGGGGCCGCACAAUCGGCGGAGCAUGUGGAUUAAUUCGAUGCAACGCGAAGAACCUUACCUGGGUUUGACAUGCACAGGACGCCGGCAGAGAUGUCGGUUCCCUUGUGGCCUGUGUGCAGGUGGUGCAUGGCUGUCGUCAGCUCGUGUCGUGAGAUGUUGGGUUAAGUCCCGCAACGAGCGCAACCCUUGUCCUAUGUUGCCAGCGGGUUAUGCCGGGGACUCGUAGGAGACUGCCGGGGUCAACUCGGAGGAAGGUGGGGAUGACGUCAAGUCAUCAUGCCCCUUAUGUCCAGGGCUUCACACAUGCUACAAUGGCCGGUACAAAGGGCUGCGAUGCCGUGAGGUGGAGCGAAUCCUUUCAAAGCCGGUCUCAGUUCGGAUCGGGGUCUGCAACUCGACCCCGUGAAGUCGGAGUCGCUAGUAAUCGCAGAUCAGCAACGCUGCGGUGAAUACGUUCCCGGGGCCUUGUACACACCGCCCGUCACGUCAUGAAAAGUCGGUAACACCCGAAGCCGGUGGCCUAACCCUUGUGGAGGGAGCCGUCGAAGGUGGGAUCGGCGAUUGGGAC